GACAGAGGGUGCUAGCGUUGUUCGGAAUUACUGGGCGUAAAGCGCGUGUAGGCUGCCCUGCAAGUCGGAUGUGAAAGCCCUGGGCUCAACCUAGGAAGUGCACUCGAAACUGCAGGGCUGGAGUCCUGGAGAGGAAGGCGGAAUUCUCGGUGUAGAGGUGAAAUUCGUAGAUAUCGAGAGGAACACCGGUGGCGAAGGCGGCCUUCUGGACAGUGACUGACGCUGAGACGCGAAAGCGUGGGGAGCAAACAGG
rnacentral:rRNA from 1 species